GAAAAAGGGUCUUCUUCAGGCAUCUCAGCAGGAUCCAUGUGAAGCUGCAUCCUCUGAGGUUACACUUAAACCUCGGAGGAAGAGAACAUUGGGAACUUUUACAGUUCCACAGUUUGAAAGCAGCUCAGGCCAUGGCUCUCCGGAGAGGAAGAGAAGAAAGAUUGGCUUUCUUGGUGUGUCCCAACGGGAUCGAUGUGAAGCUGCAUCAUCUGAGGUUACAGUUAAACCUCGGAGGAAGAGAACGUUGGAUGAUUUGACAGAUGCUCCACGUGGAAGCAGCUCAGGCAGCUGUUGGAAGAGAAAGAAGAAAAAAUCAGGCUAGGACAGGAAGCAGCUGCGCCCAGUGUGGAGGGCUGAAAGGACCAGAACUUCAUGAAGAGGAUGUAGAAGAUGGUAUCAGUAUUGCAGGUUUACAACCUGCACAGGUGGUAGCACACACUCAC